ACAUGCUGGCGAAAACCGUGGAAACACGGUCCUCCCGCAAGGGACGCUAGUACAGGUGGUGCAUGGCUGUCGUCAGCUCGUGUCGUGAGAUGUUGGGUUAAGUCCCGCAACGAGCGCAACCUUACCCUUAGUGUUUCCCGAAAGGAUUACCCUCUAAGGGGACUGCCCCGGACAACGGGAGGAAGGUGGGGAUGACGUCAAGUCCGCAUGCUCCUUACGUCUAGGGCUACACACGUCCUACAAUGGGGUCGACAGUGGGAUGCAAAGCCGCGAGGUGGAGCCAAUCCCCAAACGGCCUCUCAGUUCGGAUAGUAGUCUGCAACUCGACUACUUGAAGUCGGAAUCGCUAGUAAUGGCGGAUCAGCAUGCCGCCGUGAAUACGUUCCCGGGUCUU
rnacentral:rRNA from 1 species